UAUUUGAAUCACAGAACUCACCGUCACUACCAUAAUCCUUAUUACUCUCACCACUAAACCAUUCGUAGUUCAGCCCCUCCAUCCGUUGUCGUUGGCCCUAGUCUUCUUCUCCACGUCGUGCUCGGAGCGGUGGCGUUACAGUACCCGUCGUCGUCGUCGUUGGCCGUAAGAAAACGUCUUUGUCCCCGCGGCGAGCCUUUGUCUUCGAGCCCUUCUCUCUCUGUCUGAGGCCCCGUCGUUCCUCUCUCCUCGUCAAUACCAUUUCUUCCGCUGCCGUAUAUUAAGAUGCCCAUGAUAAGUUGUUGCACUACAAGAAAAAAGGCCUGUUGGCACAUUUUUUUCUUUUCACGCUUUUAAAGCGUGCCUAAAAGUGGUCUAUGGCCACGCUUUUGCGAGGGUGGCCACUGAUUUGUGAUUUAGCCACACUUUUUUUGCCACCCUUGAAAAGCGUGGCCAUAGAGAAAAAUUGGCACGCUUUUAUGAGGGUGUCCACUUACUUGAAAUUUGGCCACGCUUUUUUACUGCCACACUUAAAAAGCGUGGCGAUAGAGGGAAAUCGGCACGCUUUUAUGAAGAUAUCCAAGUUGGACACAACAUGUCAGCAACCUCAAGUAGGAUCUGCUACGGCUUCAUCCUCUAAUCAAAGGGAUUUCCUAGUUCCCCGUCCAGUGGUGGUGGUGCCCCGCAACCUCAUCUUUACGCCCCUUUCAUCCGCCCCAUAGCGAAUCACUGCUUGCUCCACAGACUUGUACGAAUGGUGUUCAAAACUCAUAGCCGGGCGAUGAAAACUUAGACCCAAAGGCAGAAUCCGAUGGAACAAUCAAACAAUUUCGUUUGAGUGUGAAGGAAGCUAUAAGCCACCUAACGGUAGAAAGAUUGUACUCAGGUUCAAUUGAAACCUGCAACAAGUUGGAGAUGAAGCUGGUAUACUAAGCGGCGUUUUCGGAUUGCUAAGAUCUGACUACACCAAAUUCCCAAUCUGCGAUGUCUAAUUCAAAGGCACGGUGGGGAGCUUCCACCAGACGUCACUGCAGAGAUGAAUUCAUUGGAGGGACAGAGUGGAAAGUAGAUCUUAGGAUUGGAAAUUGAUUUUUUUAAAUAUACAUUUUUUUGUUGACUAUGCAACUCUUAGUAGUGAAUAUACUUUGUUGAUAUUUGGAUAAAUAUAUGAAU